rnacentral:lncRNA from 1 species
CACUGUCAUAUAUUAUGAUGUUGCUUUUACUCUACCUGGACAGUUUUUAAGUGUAACUAUGUAUAAUUUAUGGCUAAAUCACAUCGGCAGGGAAGCACUAUCUAGGACCGUUUAGACACUACCUAGAAGAGUGUUCUGUCUACAAAGGUACAGAGUUCAGACACUAGUUAGAAGAGUGUUCUGUCUGCAAAGGUAUAGAAAGACUAAUAGUUUCAUUUCUCAUGUUGACAGUCAGCUACAAGAGUGUUUUGUCUCAUUUCUCAUUUGACAUAAUGAACUGUGAGUUUGCCAGCCAAAUGUCAUACACAAAGACAUACAGUGUUAAUAGCUGACAAGAAUAUGGACUUCCUUCAUCUGUCAUGAUGUGCGGUAUAGUUUAUUGCCGCCUGGUGGUGAUAGUCAACCCCCCUUGACACUAUCUUAUGUUAGCCCUUAUUUUCACGAUAUUUCCUUAUGCAGAGCCAAAGAAGGAAGAAAUAACAACACAACCAAAAGAAACAAAAUUAGGAUUUGAAGGACGGGAGGGCAGCACUCUAUUAAUAUUAUGAAUGAUCUGAAUUGCUGAUCAUUUUCUUUAAAUAAAAAACACUACCAACAAUUGAAGGAUUGCUUGAAUCAAAAAUACCCUUAUAAG